rnacentral:rRNA from 1 species
UACGACUACAUAUCAGGCAUAUCAAUAAGCGGAGGAAAAGAAACUAACAAGGAUUCCCCUAGUAACGGCGAGUGAAGCGGGAAGAGCUCAAAUUUGAAAUCUUAAAGGGUUUCCCUUUACGAAUUGUAGUUUAAAGAAGUGUUUUCUGUUGGAGUUUCGGUAAAAGUUCUUUGGAAAUAGGACAUCAUAGAGGGUGAGAAUCCCGUAUUUGACCAGUUACUUUCCAGCUGUUGUGGAUACACUUUCAAAGAGUCGGAUUGUUUGGGAAUGCAGUCCAAAUGGGUGGUAAAUUUCAUCUAAAGCUAAAUAUUGGCGAGAGACCGAUAGCGAACAAGUACCGUGAGGGAAAGAUGAAAAGAACUUUGAAAAGAGAGUUAAACAGUACGUGAAAUUGUCAAAGGGAAGCGUUUGACACCAGUGUUGUUUAGUUGAAAAUCAAUUAAAUAAUUUUUCGAUUUUGAGUAGUAUUGACCUUAUCAGCUUGCUGCUUUCUUCUCGGAAAUUAUUUAAUGCACUUUUCAGUUAACAAGUCAACAUCAAUUUCUUUUGUUGUAAAAGAGUCAUUGGAAGGUGGCUUUCACUUCGGUGAAAGUGUUUAUAGCCUUUGACUUCUGCAAUCGGAGAGAUUGAGGUCUGCAGCGUAGAUCCUUCGGGGUUAGAUACAUUUGUGCUAAGUUAUAGUUUUUCAUAGACAACAUGUUGACUAUGAUUAAUCAUGUAGCUUACUCGCUUAUGCUAUUUUACCUACGCUUAGGAUGUUGACGCGCGUGUGUGCGUG